rnacentral:sRNA from 12 species
AGCGAAGUAAAGAUUAGCACUCUUUACACAUAGCCGCCAUAGUUUUAAUGGAUGUAGCCGGAAUACAGGAUGACCGCUCCGUAAGCCAUUAUGUAAAUCUCACAG